AAUAAACUAGACAGAGGCAUGAUAUUAUCGGUAACAACAACAAUCUAGCAUGUCAACUUAUUUUAUGAAAGCAUAAGCAUGCAAGACAGAUAACAAAACAUAUAGCACGACUAAAAUAACAGCAGACGGAACAGACAAGAAAAAACUACAACUAAACACACACACGAGGUGCAAGCAAAGUCAACAUGCAAGUUCGGGGCUCAUGAUAAGAGGUUUGCUUGCCUGGGUGUUGGGGAUAUAACUACUAGUAUGACCCACCAAAAUGAGCUGGGUUAUACUUAGAAGCAUUCUUGAACACAGAAGCUCAAGCUUGAAGACGGUGGCUUAGUAAAGGCCCAACGGCCCAGAGAUGACGUAAGGUUCGUAGUGUUAAACUGCCUUGAGUAUGUAACUUAUAUGGUAAGGCAAGAAAGGUUAAGAGACCGAGCCGGAUACAAUCUAUAAGCUGGCCGGGACUCUGUAGAGCCGCUGGGCGUCAACCUCAGUAUAUACAAGGACGACCCGGCGGUGGUUUAGGGUACGAAACAACAACUCAAGAACUAGGUCAAGCGACUCUGCUUCCUGGUCGACAUACAUAAUCCCAAUCACAACUAGACAUAGGCUUUUACCUUCAUCUUAAGGGGCCGAACUAGUAUAAAACCUCUCGUGUCUAUUGUCCUGAUUAACCCCUUCAAGCUUCCUAGUUGCGAUGGCUCCACGACUAAGUCCUUUCACUAGGACAUCUGACGUGACAAUUCCACGACAGUUCGCGCCCACCGUGGGGCCAGCGCACGGUGGAUUUGAGUUCUUGAAGGGCAGCUUCGAAGGUCUCAAGGGAUACGCCGUGGGCCGGAUGACCAAGAGUCAUCGCGGCAAGCUCUACAUCAACGACGCAGGCUGGGGCCCCGAGGCCGUCUCAAUUGAGUAUGGGUACCGGGUCCCCUUCGGCGGAAUCCAUGUCUUCAUCGGCAAGAUCGGCGAGCCGGGCCCUCAGCCGGACAUCUGCACCGACCUCGUCGAGAUGGCACAGCGUGCGAGACCCGCCCGGGCUCCGCCGGCUGUGAAGCAUGCCUUCGUGGGAUGCAUCCAUGGAGGACUCUCUGAAGGGUCUGCCUCUGAUGGUGAGGUGGCCAUCUACUCUGACGGUGAGUCGUCCACAGGCGAGACAGAUUCAUUGUACCAACUGCAGGAUGGCGGGCUCGGCGGCUGUUCCGAUGGCAGCAGUAUUCCAGAUUGUCUUGAGCAGUCGUCCAGGGUCGGGAUCUUCAUGGCUGGAACCCAACCCAUCCAGGACUCCGCAACUGCAGCAGCGGUAACCUCCGGGUCAGCGGUAGCCAGGGAAGGAGGUCAUGUGCGCUCACCGGCCCAGGUGUUAAUGGAUCUCACCGACAAAUUAACCACCCUGUUAACCGCCGUAGUCAGCCCGGCGGAUCAAGCCAGUCAUGACACAGAGGUGGCACAGUUAAAGUUGGAUAUGGUGCAAGCUAAGGAGGACCUGGCAGCAGAAGAUGUUAGGAUAACCGCAGAGCGGGCGGCUCUGGAUGUUCAGGCUCAUCAGAUUCAGGCGCACGCUUUUCGGCUUACGCAAGACCAGAACGCAGCUAAUGAAGUCAUGAGGAGAAGGCAUCAGAAGACCCAGUCUCGACUUCCCCCGGUUUAUGACCCUCGGAACCUUUUUAACACGCCAGGAGCAGGGCCCAGUAACCUGCUGUGGCUCGUCCCGCAGACAGGCAACCCGCCAUGGGUCCCUCCGCGCACAGGGCCAGACCAUGUUGCGACACCCGGGGAUGGAGCACCGUUUCAGUCUCCGGUGAUGGGACCUCCCCCUGUAAAUAUGGCGCCACCUCAGUACGUACCAACCCCUCUGGGUCAUUAUUCCAACCCAUUGGAAAACAUGAUAGCAGCAGCAACUCGAUUGGCGGCUCUCCCGAUUGAUGGCGACUCUCCGACUGCGGUUGAAACCCGCCGGGUCAGGGAACUUCUUCAGACGACUUUAGUACAGCAGGAGGCGUACUCAUACAGUCGGGACAGGAUCCACUCGACCCCUCGUCCAAGCCGAAGCCCGAGUUAUAGCAUGCACAUGGAUUCAGCGGCCGUAUCAAGCAAUGUUAGACAUCGUGACCAGCAAGGUGGCGGUAACCCGCUACGUCAUGAGGCCGUUAACUUGGUAGAGCAAGAGAGACUACGGCAAGAGGCUGAACGGGCAGCUGAACAAGCGGCUCAGUUGAUGGCUUAUCAGCCAUAUCCGGUUUACCCAGCGACUUCUGUUGAGGCAGGUAUAGCCACCCAGACUGGAGGAGUCCCAUGUCUAGUACCGGCUCUACAUAACAAGCGGUUGCCCAAAGAUUUUAAAGGACCCAGGAAGGUGCCGAAUUACACAGCGGACUUAUAGCCCGGGGCAUGGAUUGAGAGCUACGAGAUGGCUAUGGAGCUGUUGGAGGUUUCUGAUGUGGCAAUGGCUAAGUACUUCACCAUGAUGUUGGAUGGAACCGCCCGCACCUGGUUGAAAGGCCUGACACCUAAUUCAAUCAGUUCAUGGGCGGAGUUAAAGGACCGGUUCAUCCAGAACUUCAAAGACACGUGCAAACAGCCCAUGUUGAUCGUGGAUCUGACGAAUUGUAAGCAGGAAGAGGGUGAGUCUACAACCCAUUGGGUACGCUGGGUUAAGGCCAUAAUACAUUCAUCUGAUAAGAUGGAUGCCGACUCUACAGCCUUAAUGUUGGAGAAGAAUUGUCGUUUCUUACCUUUGAAACAAAAGCUGGGGCAGCUCAAACGUGAUUGCAAUGAUAUGGGCACACUGAUGGCGGCUCUGGUCAAGUAUGCCGAUUUUGAUAGUACCAAGGAUCCCGAGUCUGAUGAUGAGAAGGCAGGGAAGGGAAACAGGAACGGCAACGGCAAGGGCUCUCAGCACAACCCGGCAAAUCAAGGAAGUAACAAACGUAAGGCUGACGGUAGUUUGGAUUUUGUGGCUAACACCAAUGCGCAGGGUCAUAACCAGCGGCGCAAGGGAAGGCCACCUCCCCGAUCCAGCGGGUCAGUACCCACACUUGAGCAGUUGUUGAAUGAACCUUGCCUGAGACACGUCUCUAAGGAGAAGCCGGCUACACAUUUGUGGAAGGAUUGCACGAUUAUGAAGGCGUUCAAGAAUUCCAACAUGUUUGAUGGUAACAAUGGCCAGGGCGGCUUAGGUGGUGGCGGCUUUCAUGGCCCCGGCGGCGGGUCAAAUCCCAAUUUUCAAAAUUCCCAUGGAAACCAGGGUGGAUAUAACCAACAGGCUAGUCAGGGCAGUCAGCAGUAGCAGCAAGGUGGAUACCAGAGCAAUCCGAAGCAACUAACAGUGGGCAAUAUCAUGUGUUUACCACCAGUUUGUGUAAACGGGACCAGAAGCUUCAUAAGAGGGCCGUGAACGCGGUUGAGCUGGCAAUCCCUCGUUAUUUGAGGUGGUCUGAGCAGCCUAUCAUAUGGAGUAGAGAGGAUCACCCUCCCCGGGUUGAAAAUCCGGGUCACUUAGCUCUGGUCGUAGCCCCUCAAGUGGGAGGAUACAAGUUCACCAAGGUGCUGAUGGAUGGAGGCAGCAUCAUCAAUAUACUUUAUUAUGAGACCUUCCGUCGCAUGGGGCUGACUGAUAAGAGCCUUAAGAAGUCCAACACUAUUUUCCAUGGAGUUGUACCUGGUAAGUCAGCGUAUCCGGUCGGCAAGAUACAGUUGGAGGUGGCAUUUGGGGAUGAAUACGAUUCCAGAGCCGAGAAAUUAACAUUUGAAGUAGUUCAGAUUAAGAGCCCUUAUCAUGCUCUGUUUGGGCGGCCGGCUUAUGCCAAGUUCAUGGCACGGCCGUGUUAUGUGUACUUGCAGCUCAAAAUGUCGGGUUACAAGGGAACCAUUACGGUACACGGGAGUCACAAGGUGGCUCUGGAAUGUGAAGAAGGUGAUGCGGCUUAUGCUGAGUCGGCCUGCGCGACGGAAGAGUUAAAGUUCUACAAGGACAAUGUUGACCCGGCAGAUAUGACAUCUUUGAAGAAGCCAACUACCGAGCAUGAGCCGGCCAUGAAAUUUCAGUCGGCGAAGGAAACUAAGCUUGUCGAUUUUGUCCCAGGCGACUCAUCCAAGCAGUUCAGUAUCAGUGCUAAUUUGGGUCCCAAAUAGGAAGGCGCGCUCAUCGAGUUCAUCCGUGAGAAUCGGGACAUUUUUGCAUGGAAUCCAUCUGACAUGGCGGGUGUACCGAGAGAACUCACUGAGCACACUCUUAAUAUCGGUCCAAAGUUUAAGCCGGUCAAGCAAUUUCUUCGGCGGUUUAAUGAGGAGAGAAGGAAAGCUAUCGGUGAGGAAGUGGCCUGGCUCUUGGCGGUGGGUUUAUCAUUGAGGUGUUUCAUCUAGACUGGCUGGCUAACCCGAUGCUUGUUCUUAAGAAAAACGGCACUUAGCGUAUGUGUGUGGAUUACACGGACUUAAACUAGGCCUGUCCUGCUGAUCCUUUUGCUCCCCCUCGUAUUGAUCAGAUCAUCGAUGCUAUGACGGGUUGUGAGCGUUUGAGAUUUUUGGAUGCUUAUUCUGGUUAUCAUCAGAUCAAGAUGGCUGUUAAGGACCAGGAGAAGACGGUGUUCAUCACUCCGUUUGGAGCCUUCUGCUAUGUUUCAAUGCCUUUCGGGCUCAAGAGUGCCCAGGCGACUUACCAGCGAUGCGUACAGAAUUGUCUCCAUUAUCAUAUUGGACGCAAUGUUCAUCCCUAUGUGGAUGACAUAGUGGUUAAGUACAGAGAGAAAGAGUCCUUGAUUGAUGAUCUCAAGGAAACAUUUGAUAAUCUCUGGGUCUACAAGAUGAUGCUUAACCCAGCCAAGUGUGUUUUUGGUGUGCCUGCAGGCAUGCUUUUGGGUUUUCUGGUUUCUAACAGAGGCAUCGAAGCUAACUCGGAGAAGAUAAAAGCUAUCACCUCCUUGGCCAAGCCGGCGUGUAUUAAUGAUGUCCUGCGUUUGGCGGGUCGGGUCGCCGCCUUAAGCCGGUUCAUAAGCCGGUUAGGGGAGAAGGCUAUGCUGCUGUAUCAGAUGAUGAAGAAGACAGAUAGCUUUACUUGGAAUGACGCUGCCAAUACUGCCUUUGAAGAUCUGAAGAGACAGUUGGCUGAGCUGCCGGUUCUUGCUGCUCCCAUUGAUAAGGAGCCUUUGCUCCUAUAUGUGGCUGCUAAUACACGUGCUCUCAGUGUGUCUAUUGUGGUGGAACGCAAGGAGGCUGGCAAGGAGCACCUGGUUCAGCGGCCGGUUUACUACAUUAGUGAGGUACUGAUCGACUCCAAGCAGCGAUAUCCGCGUUGGCAGAAACUUGUCUAUGGGGUGUUUAUGGCCAGCCGGAAGCUUAAACAAUACUUUUUGGGCCAUCCCAUCACUGUGGUUAGUUCUGCCCCCUUGGGGGAUAUUAUUCAGAACAGAGAGGCCAUAGGGCGAGUCGCCAAAUGGGCCAUUGAGCUUGGGCCUCAUGGUUUAAAAUAUGUGCCGCGCACAGCUAUUAAAUCUCAAGCAUUGGUGGAUUUCAUCAAUGACUUGACAGAAUUGCAGAUGCCUGAGGAAAAGACGGACAAUACUUAUUGGACAAUUCAUUUUGAUGGGUCUAGGCAACUGGAAGGCUCGGGGGCUGGAGUUAUUCUGGCUUCCCCUCGAGGUGAUAAGUUUUGUUAUGUACUCCGGUUGAUGUUUCCUUGUACUAACAAUGCAUCUGAGUAUGAGGCCUUGCUCCAUGGUCUCUGGAUGGCUAAAGAGAUGAAUUUAAGCCGGGUAAGGUGCUUUGGCGACUCAGAUUUAGUGGCUUAGCAAGUGUCAGGCAAGUGGGAUUCAAAGGACCCUCUCAUGGAAGCUUAUCGUCGGGAGGUUGAUGCAAUUGCGGGGCACUUCAAGGGUUAUCAGGUGGAACACAUUGACCAUAGAAAUAACAAGGCGGCUGAUGCCUUAAGCCAGCUGGGAUCUCAGCGUAAGCCGGUGCCGCCUAAUACUUUCUUGGAUUAUUUGUAUAACCCUUCUGUCAAGCUACCUACAGAGGAAGAUUUGGCUGUUCCUGACCCUGAGGCACAGUUGGUGGCGGCUCUUCAUAUCAUCCCAGAUUGGACGGCGCCGUAUCUGGCCUAUAUGACACGGGGUGAGUUGCCUGAAGAUGAAACCUUGGCCAGGCAGAUAACCCAGCGGUCUAAGUCCAUGACGAUCAUCAAUGGCGAGUUACAUCAUUGCAGUGUUACAGGGGCUUUUCAGUGUUGCCUCUCUCCUGAAGAAGGCCAAGAAAUUCUACGUGAGAUUCAUGAAGGGGAUUGCGGUCAUCACGCCGGGUCAAAAUCUAUUGUGGCUAAAGCUUUUUGUCAUGGGUUUUAUUAGCUGACGGCUCAUGCAGACGCAGAGGAUCAGGUCAGUAAAUGUGAUGGUUGUCAGAAGUUCUCAAGACGGGCUCAUGUGCCGGCUCAAGAGUUGAGGAUGAUUACAAUUACUUGGCCGUUUGCAGUCUGGGGGCUUGACAUGGCUGGGCCUUUCAAGCGAUCCAAAGAUAAAAAUACUCACCUCUUGGUGGCGGUUGAUAAGUUCACAAAGUGGGUCGAGGCAGAGCCAGUCAGUAAGUGUGAUGCAGCUACGGCGGUUCAAUUCAUGAAGAAGGUGAUAUUUCGCUUUGGUUUUCCACACAGCAUUAUAACUGACAAUGGCACUAAUUUGUCUAAAGGCGCCAUGGAGGAGUUCUGUCAACGUGAGCAUAUCCGGCUUGAUGUUUCAUCAGUGGCUCACCCUCAUUCCAAUGGUCAAGCCGAGAGAGCCAAUCAAGAGAUCCUGAAAGGCAUUAAGCCCCGGCUCUUUGUCCCUUUGCAAUGGACGCCGGGUUGUUGGGUUGAGGAGUUACCUUCAGUGUUAUGGAGCAUCAACACUACUCCUAACAGAUCUAUGGGUUAUACGGCUUUCUUCAUGGUAUACAGAGCUGAGGCAGUUCUCCCUAGUGACAUCCGUCAUGAUUCACCUCGUGUGGCGGCUAAUGUGGAGGAAGACAAUGAACAAGCACGUCAGGAUGUUCUUGAUCUGUUAGAUGAACAUCGGGACUUGGCAGCAGCUUGCUCGGCGAUUUAUCAACAGGACUUGCGCCGUUACCACAGCUGCCGAGUUAAGUCCAAAUCUUUUUAGGAAGGUGAUUUAGUGCUCCGGCUCAUCCAGGAUCAAACUGAUGCUCACAAGUUAUCCCCACCUUGGGAAGGGCCAUUUUUGGUCAGCAAGAACUUGAACAACGGGUCAUAUUACCUUAUUGACGUUCGAGAGCACAAAGACUCACUUAAGUCGGAGGAGGAGACCCGGAGGCCGUGGAAUAUUGCUCAUCUCCGGCCCUACUACACUUGAGCCAUAGGCUCCACUGAUGUACAUAUUUUGCCGAUGUAUAUAUUAUGAUAAAUAAUAAAGCAGGACCUCUGUCCUUUUUUCCCUUCUCACAAGGUAAAUUUGUCAUUUAUUAUUAUCAUCUUUUUAUCACACGAUCGUUCGGGGGCGGGUCAUAUUUGAUCCGGCUCAGCCUGUUCUAAUCCGGCUUACGAUUCUAUUCGAAUCUACCUGUUCAAAAUUAUGGUCACUAGGGGCUUCCUGUUCAAGCAUAGGUCGUAUUCGAACCAAAGAGAACAUAGUUGUCGAUACCCUUUUGAUUGGCACACUGCCGAGCUCACUUGGGGGCUUCUUGAUCGUCUUCGAAUCAUAGCUUAACCCCAUUUGGGAACCGACUUUGAUCGUAUUCGAAUCAGAGUCCUUAAAAAACUCUCAAGGUCAUUAGGGGGCUUCCUGUUCAAACAUAGGUCGUAUUCGAACCAAAGAGAACACAGCUGUCGGUACCCUCUUGAUCGGCGCAAAGCCAAAGCCAUUAGGGGCUACAUGAUCAUAUUUGAAUCCUAGCUUAAACCCCUUCUGGGACGGUUUACUGAUCGUAUUCAAAUCAGCGGCCUUGCCAUUAUUACUUCUCUUUUUGGUUUAAGUUCUCUUUGGAAGCCCCGUUAUUUGGCUUAAAGAUUAUUUCUUGUGGCUUACAACUAUAAAUAUAAUGUUUGCAGCCCGGUUCAAUAUGGACUGAUGAGUCGUCCACCCUUAAACAUAGAUGUACUUUCCAGGUAUCAAAAUAUCUGAUCUUCAUCAUUACUAGCCGGGUCAUAUGAACCGGUGCAGCCAGUGGAAAAUUUUAUUAUAGUUGUGUUUUCAUCAACCAGCUAAUCUAUGUUUCUCACAUUUUUGACCUGACUAGCAGCUUAUUUGAAGAACAGUUUUUCAACAAUGAUCAAACUGUGUGCAUGAACAUAACAAGGCGUCUUAAAAAAAUUACGCAUCAAAAACAUGCACGAUGGCAUGGCCACAACAGAGUUAUCUCUACCCUAUUACAGGACUUAUUAAGUCCAAAUAGUUUGCAUUGUUUUUUAAACACCAGGUGCUAUGUCGCCAUGACAGCUUCACCCUCAAGAUUGGCCGGAAGCGUCCGAGUUAGCCAUCUCCGUGCUUGUGUCCUCCUUUUCCUAGAAGGUUGAUAAUGACCAGUCAAUGUUCUUUAAGGCUUCAAAUUCUCUGCUUCAUCAUCAACAAGACCGAUCGGGUCAACUUCAGGAGCGAAGGUAUGCUUAGGAAUUGGGGGAAUCAGACUCGUCACGUCAUAUUCAGGCAUUGGAAUCCUUCGGUUUUGUUCAUGAUAACCCGCCUGGUACUUGGUAUAAUCCACUUCAGCGGCUAUCAGAGUCGCCACGGGGCGUACCUCUUUGACACAGGCAAGGAAAUCCGCCUCUUCAAAAGACAUGCCAUCUUCCUUGAGAUUUGGAUAACCAAUGGCGAUAUCUUCCGGGUCUAGUUCAGGUAGCCAGGCCUUAGCCCGGAUUAGAGCAUUUACCGCUCCGGCUCUUGCAGCUGACCGUCUCAAUUCAUUGAUCCGUUGCGGAAGAACUGACAGCUUAAUCAAGAACCGUGAUAGGAGGGUUGGCACUUCAUUGGAUAAGGCCACCGAAGCAUGGGUACGUUGUGUCCCGGUGUACAAUUGUUACACCAAGGUAUACACAGCCUUUAACUUCGUAAGUAUAUUGUGGUUUAAAUAUGCGCUUCUGGGGCCUGUACAAAGCAUACUCAGAAAGGUUAAUUUCUGGCACAUACUCUAUUGCCCGGCUUAAGAUAUGUACACAACGGCAAGGCGACUUACCGAAGAUGGGUGCGACCAUUUGUGAAAUAUGGCGCUUUAACCCGGACAAUUCUCCGGUGACUUCUUCAAGAGCCGCUUCUGCUUUCUCAGCCCAGCUUAUCAAUGCGGUCUUCUCAUCCACCCAGGCUUGCUUUUCAGUCUCAAAAUCGUUUUUCAGUUUCUCCUGUUCAGAAACACUGAACUCGAACUUACUGUUGGCCUUCUCAAGUUCUGACUCUUGGAAUUCAAGGUGGCUCUUCAAAUUGGUCACCUUCGAUUCAAGUUGACUCGUGGUAGCCUGUGCAAGUAUAAAAUCAAGUGAGUUAUUUAUGCAGUAUUUAAGUCCCAAGAAUUUUGCCAACAACAUACUUGGCACUUGGGGGCUAAUGUCUUGCAAAGUUUUUUCUGAUCUACGAUGGUUCAUCAUAUGGUGAUUCAUAUGAGUAAGUCCCAAGCAUUUUGUAAACAAUAACACUUGGCACUUGCGGGCUAAUGUAUAUUGCUGUUUAGAAGACCCAUAAGACUUUCUCUAUAAAGAGUCGGCUCGACCAUAUUGGUUAAGCCGCCCAUAGGGGAUUACAUGGUAAGCCGAAAAUUUAUUCUUUUGUUAUAUUGUCAAAUUUAUUUCUAAGUCUACGGCAUAAGUAUCUUAAGCAGCAGACUUGGGGGCUAAUAUACUGAAGGAUAAGGAACAAGACAAAACAAGGUAUACCUCGAAUUUAUGACGCAUUUCCUUCACCAUGUCAAUCUCGAGGGUCCGGCUAUUGUGCACUUGGCUCAUAUAACGAGAGAAGAUAUCUCCAAUACUUAUAUGAGCAUAAUUGGUGACGUCCAUCUUGACUCGGCGCUGGUCUAGAAGUUCUUCCUUGGCGGAGCAUUUGGCCAGUACGGUUGGCCUCCCCGGGUCAACAUGGCCAGUUCCCGUAAUUUCAACAUCUGUGUUGGAAGGAUCAGCCGUCCGGUUUGGGCUUGGAGGUUGAGGAUUUUCUGACCCGGAAGCACCUUGGUCAGUUGGCAGGUCAGUAGGAGGUGAUACAUCUUGUGCUGGUUCAGGUGGCGGUUCAUGAGUGCUUGACUCCGGCACGGUUGUUUGAAGAGCCGGCUCAUCAGUGGCGACUCUCUCAUCAGCCGUCUUAUUUUUUCUACCCCACUUGCUGGGUUUAACUUGAACACUGCAUUCAAAACAAAAGAUUAGUACAGAAGUAAGAAGAUUACAAUAACUACAAAAAGUGAGUGGUUUAGUAUACCCUGGUACCGUCUUGAAAGUCGGCAGAUUGGAUUGCAAUGACUCGCCGGAGGGAGGGGAAGUAUCCUGAUAAUCCGAGUCAGAGGAAUUGAGUGGUUGACGAAAGAGACCCACCAAUGCGUAAAAUUUACUUAAAACGGAGGUAACCUCGUUUCGGCGUUUCCUUGGAGUAUUUGGUAAGCUGGAGGAGAGCUCCGGGUCCUUGCUGGUCCGGGUCUGCCUUCAGCUCUGAUGAAUUUGCCGCUUCAAAAGAAAUUGAGGAUCGUGAUGAGCUAGAGGAUGAGAAAAUCUUACUUUCUGGGUCACUCUGCGGAUUUUCUGUCUUGGCAAAGGCUCGGAGUCGGAGAAAAGGAUAGUUACCUUGUCAGCCUUGCUACGGUUUGUCCCAGUGUCCUCCUGCUGAUGAUAAGUGCCAAUAAGAUGGUUAAAGAAUAAGCCAAGGGAAUCAAGGGCUACCUCUGACUCAGAAGAGUUUGACAGCCGAAGCAAGUCGGAAGCAGUAGCUUUCUUGCCCUUCCUUUGGGCAGCUUCUUUCCUGGCGGCUCUUUUUUCUUUCCUGGCUUUCUUAGCCGCUUCAUGAUCAUAUUUAACCUUCCAAAAUUUGUCACCCGCUUGCAAGGAUUAAGCAUAUUGUGAAUAUAGAUGAAGCAUUAAGAAAAUAAGGUAAACAUUUUUGGGUGUUUUUUGCCUUUGGAGCCGGGUUAUCUUUGCAGAACGGGGCUAGACCCACUUUGCCACAAUCUGCCAGGCUUUCGUUGAGAAGAGAUUUGGUCAUGUCAUCAACAACAUGAACAGGUAAGUCAGCAGGGCUAUGGCGCUGGGGGUCAUUCUUGGCGCCAGUGUAUUCACACAUUAAGAUGGUGCGGUGGCUUAAUGGGAUAACCCGCCAGGCAAGCCAGACUCAAACCAGGUCAAUGCCCGUCAACCCAUUCCCCAAUAGAGCUUUAAUCUUGGCUAUAGUAGGAGAGAGGGAUCUACGUUCUGCGGUGGUAAUCUUGUCGGGCAAGUGAUGAUUAGUGUCAAGCCGGAGGGCACGAAAGUCAGGCAGAGGAUUCUCAUCAGCCGAGGAGGUGUCCUUGCAGUAGAACCACGUCAUGUUCCAAUCUUUGGAUGGCUUGGCAGGUUGGCAUAGGGGGAAAGUGCAUCCCUGCGAUGCUGAAUUGAAAUCCCACCAAGUUCCAAGCUCUGACCGCUGGCACACUCUGUCUGGCGGUUCAAAUAGAACAGUUCUCUGAAAAGUAGCAAGUUUGGUUAUUCACAAAGAUAAACUUCGCUGAACACUUGGAAAUUGCAGAUGUUAGACAUGGAAUUGGGUCCAAUGUCUUGUGGGCGAAGGUCAAAAAACUUCAGCACGUCUCUGAAAUUUUUUGAACCAGGAGGCGUGAAACCCCGGUUCAUAUGAUCGGUGAAGACGACCACCUCUCCGUCUUUGGGUUGAGGGAUUUCUUCGUCCAGGUGAGGAGCACGGUAAGGCAUGACUUCUUUCUUGGGAAGAUAGUGGUUUUGACGAAGUCAUCUAAAGUGUUGUCAGUGACAAUGGAUUUCACCCAAUUGCAAGUGGUAGGUGCGUUGGGCGCCAUUAUGUUUGAAAUCCUAGAUGCAAGAUAAAUAAGGCCGGUUCAAAUUUAAGCCGGGCAGGAAAAAUAUUGUUGGAAUGAACUAUGGCGACUUAUGAAGGGGCCUAAUGGUAUAAGGAUAUUUCUAUCCGGGUUACGUAAGCCGCCAUAGGUGUUUUAAAGCCAUCAGUGUUGUUUCAACUAACAGGGGAAGAUUCAGAUUAUCAUUUUCUUAAGCCGGUAGUCAGAGCCGCCAUGACUAGCAAGUUUAACAACAUAUGGAUUUUUCCUAAGUGUAGGACAAAGAAGUUUCACAGUUUGCUGUAAUUAUUUUGGAUCAAACAAAGGUUCAGAAAAGAAAUAUUUCUAGACCUAGAAACAUGGUACAGGGGAGUUUAUGCGUUCUAAUGAGGAUUCUUUACAAAGAAGAAGGAUCUGCUAGUGCCUAAAAUGGAUGCGGAACAGCUACCGCAUGAGAUCUAUGCUACUGUUGGAUCAGAAGAAGCCGCGACAGAAGAAACACGAAAACUGAGAUGAACUAUGAAUUGUACAAAGGAACCCGCUAACCCUAGCAUGGAUCUAAGAUGUAGAAAGGGGAAAACUUACAGUGAUAGAUCUGUUGCGGAGGGGCGCCGCCGUUCUCUGGACGGAUUCAGGUUGAUGCAGUGGCCAAAGUCGACGGAGACAAAGGUGCGCUGCGGCGGCAGCGGAGCUCGAGCGACAGUAGGGGCAGGAGGAAGAAGAUGGGGAACGGAGAGUGAGAGGAGACCUAGUCAGGUCUAUUUAUAAGGAAAAAACUGUGAAGUGGGCAUGAAAAACGAGGAGGCCGAAAAAACAUAAUUCUCCAACUAGAAAGGCGCCUCGAUUUUUGGAUGGUCAUUAAGACAAAGAUCCAUUGAGAUGUGUUGGACAAAGCGUGCAUGUAUGACAGGUGACGUCAUGGCGGGUUACCACAAAUUUGAAGGAUGACGUCAUGGCGGGUUAUAUGAAUCUUCUCAAAUAAGUGGCGGAGAAUUUUUUUUCUUAAGUAUUGAAGACUGACGUGAACAGGGGGCUCCGGUGGGGGAAUGGAGGGGCUGGGGCUACGAGGAGGCUCUCCGGAGUGCGGCGCAUCCAUUCAGGGUGCGCACGGGGCUCAGGGGUUGUAGGGUACUGUGUCCGACGACGGCAACGAGGAAGGAAACGAAGGGGGAAACGGGCCCAGGCGCACGGCGACGAUGAAGCUGAGCUGGUUGAGAAGCUUGGAUGAGCCAGAGCCAACCGAAGCAGCUCCACUGUGGCCAACAGUGCGCAAACCACCGAUUUGGCUGGCACUGCCCGUGGUCACCACCGACAAUGCAUGCUCUGGUCGUCUACUUAGUGCCAAAUGAUGUCUACAGCGUAGUCUUUCCAAAGCUAAUUAAGAAUGAGGUGACGGAAAGAGCAAACGUGUAGAGCAAAGAGGGAACCAGGCUCGACAAGUUUGCUGUAGCAAACUUGGCCACAUCCUGGUGAUCAAACCAGAGAGGUUAAGGAUAAACUUGAUGUCGUGGAGGUUUAGUCUAGAAAGGACUAUGGUCCUGGGAAGUUGGAGGGGAUUAGGACAAAGAUUUAGCAUAGUUGCAGUGCAAUAGCCAAAUCUGGUCUAGAAAACAAAUGAUGAAGAAGCACUCACUAGGAGUGUUAGAUAGAGCUACCACUUGACAAUUCCUCAUGAUUUGGUCAUAUAUAGAUGCUGCAAAAAGAUCAUACCAAUGGACUUUCCAAAUUGGUACUUGUUCCACAAGCAUCACUUUUGACCAGAAACUUGAGAAAGUUCUAGGAAAAUAUUGGCUACAUGAAAUGAGCCAAACUCUUGGGUAGAUGGGUUUUAUGGAUAGGAGAAGGCUUGGAAUUAUUUUCAGCCAUAAUGAAGCAAUAUAAAAUAUACUUGCUUCACAAACUGAAAAUUUGGACAGAAAGCAAGAAUUGCUCCUAUGCUCACAUGGAUCAAGGAAAUGAGCUGAAUUUGGGUGGAGGAUAAUUAUUUGGGAUACUUGAGAGGAUUCAAAGUUUCAUCCCAUUUGGAAACUCCAUGAAGGUACUUCCUUCACAAAGUUGCAUUCUGGUCAGAAACUUUGAAAAAUUGCACUGGGAGCUAGGAUAAAUGGAUUGAGAUCAUAUUUGCUAUUCGUGGGUGACUUAUCAAGGUUAAUCACCCUGCCAAUUUGCAGCUCAAUUGGAAUUAGUAAUAAAGCACUUCCUUUGCAAAAUUUCAGAGAAGGCAGAAACUUGCAUUGGAUCAUGUGCCAAAUUUUUGAACUGUGGGACAUGAGAUAAAAAUGGAACUAGUGAUUGUAUAGCAAGGACAAGCUCCACAAUUUAUGUGGGAAUUUUCCUUGCUAUAAAAAUAGAAGUUCCUUUGGAAAGUGGCAGAAAUGCAAUAUUGGUAUUAAAUAGGAAAAGGCAAUUUUCCAUAUUUAAUUAUGGCCAAUAUCUUUGCCAGAGCUUGGAUUAGACAUAAAUCUCAACUCCACCAAUUCUCAUGAAUUUAGGAGAGGACUAGAUAUGCCUUAGGAUUUUAUUUCUCAGAAAGGUAGGAAAAGGAAUAAGUCAUAAUUCAAAAAUAUUGCCUUGGACUUAGCAAUAUUUUUGCAUACCCAAGGAUUAGGAGGAUAGGAGGGUCUGUGGGAACAGAUGGGAUGAUCAACAGAUCAUGGAAAAUGAUGGCUCCUUUGUAAUCACAAAGGCCACAUUCAAAUUCCAAAAAUUGGAAUUAGGGUUUGAGAGGAUUUGAGCUGAUGCAGAAGCGGGCUUGCCCACUGAAAAAAGACAUGAGCAAGUUUUGAAAGGUUGGAAAAGACAAAAUUUCUCAGGGUCAUCCAGCAAACUCGAGAGAAAAUUUUGAAAAUGAGUGCCAGGAAGGAAUAACAGCACAAAAAUUGAUAACCCAAUUUUGGGGCUGUUACAAACCUUCCCCCCUUAAAAAGAAUCUCGUCCUCGAGAUUCCUAGGGUUACAGCACAAUUGCAAAGAUAACUACUCCGGGGAAAACCUCGGGGUAAAUUUUGAACCCUUCGGUCAGAUUUCAACAAGUUGGGGUACCCAUAGUUGGUAUACCUAGGGAGGGAUAUGGGGAAACACGGUUAUAUCCACGGCUAGGGGCACUCGAGAUCAGACUCCUGAAAAAUGCUGGAUGCACCCCAAUGAACAAUGGUUUCACCUGCUAACACGUGGGUCCAGGGCCCACUGGUAUCCUCCUUCUACCUCCGGCUAGCUUCUUCUUCGGUGCUGCUGCUUUGCGUGCGGCUGGGUGCAGCGCGCAUCUAGCCCCUAGGGCGAUAAUGACCCUAGUGUCAUAGUGCGCGGCGUGCACGCCGCCGGUGCAGCGAGCACUCACGUCGUGGGCCAGCACCUUGUCGGCACUGCUCGCGGAUUCGCCUCCUGUAUGCUGGUGAUCGAGCGACGAGCGGUUCUCCUGGACCUCGCUCAUCAUACACCGGAGUUGGGCUAUAAAAACGGCAGCGGGGCUCUCCUCCAACGCACAAACACAAUGCCGCUCUACUACCUAUUCGGUUUGGAUGAGAUCAAGCCAAGCUCCUUCGGCGAGGCGAUGUUCCUAGUGGCGCUGCAGUGGUUCCUAGCUGCACCGUUGGGCAUGUUGAUUGGCUCAUCGAUCCUCCUGCUGACGAUCAUUAGGUACGAGCGAGCUCGAGGCAACACGCGGCCAAGUACGGUGACUCGAGGUGUGGAAGAAGAUGGUGCACAGGGUGGUCCUCCGCCACGCUUGAUCCUCCGUCGCUUUGCACCGGCGGAGUAAUCGCGUGCUACGGUGGAGCGGGGUGGUGACUUGUCACGCAAGGCAGAGGCGAGCGUGGUGGUGUGGUCCAGAUACAGGUGAAGUGGCUGCGCCAGCUCAGGAAUCAUGCUGGGUUACGGGAAAAAUUCCGUGGAUAGCUCCAUGAAAAGUAGGUGUCGAGGUAGAAUCGAGGUUGAAAUUUGUAUCGGGGAGUUGUACUAGAUCGAGUGAAAUAAACUGGCAGCGUUUCUCUGGAAACACCAUUGGGGCUAACGCAAAAGAAUUAGUGACGAGAAAUGGCUAGAUGGAAAUGCCUCUUCGAGGCUCUGGGUUUGGAAAAUCUGGCACACGGGGUGUGCACAGAUAGAGAGGGAUAUGUGACUUUGCAUUCCCCCGAGUACUACCCUAAGUGUACUCAUGGGGGAACCGAGUAUGCGUGCAGUAUGCAAUAUAUAUAAUCUAUACUAUCAAACAGACAGAUGCAAUAAACACGCAAUGAAAAGCCCAUCAAACAAAUCAUCCUAAGGUGUUUUAAUGCUAGUGGGUAUAUGUAAUCCUGGUAUACAUAUACCUACACCAGCGCGCAUUUUUAUUAGAGACUCGCGACGAGUCAAUGUUGUUUUUAGUGUAUGUGUCAUACUGAUUAAAAUCUUGUUAGCACACAUUGCCAACCCUGUCAAACAUCUCUGUUUGACAAAGAGACAAACAAAACAAGCAUGAAAGCAAAAGCACAAAAACAAACAUAGAACACAACAUACGGAUUACAACAGUACUAACAUACAACAAAGCAGGAACCUUCUAUGCGCUAAACGAAACUACUCACUCCGGGAUACAUAGUUCUAUCCUCAUAUCGAGGAUGAACAGGCUGACUGACCUACUCGCAGAAGCAACUACUGGCGCGACCAAGGUCAAGCUGACGGCUGGCCUUGCUGGGGCUCUCCUGGAGGACGAAGACUGAGCCAAUCUCCAUCUUCAUCGUCCGACAUCACUAUGGGUUGGGGUUCGACUACUGGGGUUGUGGCUGAAAUCGAUCCAAGCAAAUGCUGCUAGUGGAUGCGUAAAAGAGCCUUGUCGAGGGUGACGAUGUUGGGUCUAGGCCACAACACAAACUGAGAGGGUAGCAGUGGCUCGGAUGGCGUUGGGUGAGCGGCUUGAGAUGUGAAUUUACGAGCCUCACGAUAAGCUUCCUCGAAAACUGGUACCGCACCGUUGUCCAGGGUUCUAAACUCGGCAAGCAUCUUGGAAAUCAUCAUCCCCUGGGCAGUGAUAUAUUGCACCAGGCGAGCGAUUGCGGGGUCAUCUCCUUGGAUAGCGGGAGAAGGCUGAAUUUCUGUUGCUGCCACAAUGGGGGAAAGCAGAACUCCCACCUCUCUGCCACCUGCGGAAACUUGGUUUGGAGGUAUAGGAUAGCUUCCACAGCAGCAACCUGAAUGGCUAAAUCAGCGGUAGGCAUGGCUCUACCCUGAAAAACCAAAGGCUGGCCAUCUACUGCGGAGCCUGGGCCGAUGCGCACCCUUGCAUCAUAGCGGUGAAGGUGGGGGACGGGUGUUGAAUGGAACACCAGGUAAUCAGGGCUAGCAUUAUGGCCAAACGCUUUGGUGAGCAUCUCGGCAAGAAGGGGUGGAAAGCCGGGGUGGUUGACGGCAAAGGUGCGGCUGUGAAACUUGGGAGCUUUGAAGGUGCUAGCCAUGGCUGGAGUGUUAAUAGCUAGGCUUCUCUGCAAGGACAUGGCUCAGUGAGGGUGUGCGCGAUAUGGCUAGCGGAAAUGGGAUUUUAUUGGUAGCUAUGCGGGACAUGCCCGCAUGGUGUGGUCCCUUUCCCUUAAUGGUGAAGGGAAAGAGGUGCGGCCGACCAGAAAGGAUAGAGUUGCUAUUCAAUCCACGGAUAACUAGGCGGGGACAGCAGGGUGAGGACGUGUCGGUCCCGGCUGCGCCAUGUGUUGCUUAACAGUGGCCAUGCCGGAUGUCAGGGAUGGGUCAAAUCCUUAGGGUCAUUAUGGGUUGAUGGUAGCGGUUAUCUAAUGCUAGGAUAACCUAUGCCAGCCUGGCUGCUCUGAUACCAUCUCCUGUGGCACCCCGAUCCGCAUGGAGCAGGGGGCCUUUGCACGUCAACCUAGGAUGACACCUGAUGCACGACAGGUCCAUGAUACAACAUUCCAGGUACAAUAAUAUUCAUCAAAUACAUGUGUAUACGAAUACAUCAUUGAUGAAUACAAUUAUCUGGCAUAGCCCUAAGGCUAUUUAAAUGGCAGCGGAAGUCCAUUUAAAUGGCGGCGGAAGUCUUGGUUUGGCAGCUGCAACUCUGGCUAGGCUCCACAACUCAUAGGACUGGCAAGAUUACGGCCUAGCAAGACGGAACAAUCGAACAAGUUGCGCACGACCUACAAAACUGGCAUGACACGCCAGGUCAGUACAUUGAAUGUACUUGCAAGACAAUCAAAUACAUAGCAUCCAAACAAACAUAUGACAAUGCCAGAACCAAGCAUAUGCAACAACCUACCUCAUAGCAGAAACUAAGCAUGGCAAUGGCAUAUCAAACUUACUCCUAACAUGGCUACAGCAAAACAUAGCAUGACAUUUGUAUCAUAACAUGGCAUAUCAAAUCAUGGCAUAAAUCCAGUCAAAGCAUGGCAUGGCAUCAUCAUACUAUGCUGAAAAUAAACUACCAGUCAUAUCCGAUGCAAACAUAACAUGUUAACUUCAUGCAACCAUCUACUAUUCUACCAUGGUUCUUUAAAUGCAAAUAACAACUGACUACUCAUGCAAUGCAAACAAAAUGUGCACCGAGUCCCUCAGACUCUCUUACCCGUGGGUUGCCUCACAACCAAGUGAUGAUCAUGCAUGGAUCACCAAUGGAACCACACUUGGUUCAACACUCACCGAGACCUUGUCUCGUGAUCAUACCAACUCAUCAUCGUGAUUAAUCACAACUGUCUCAUAGUCCAAUUCAUCACAUUAUUUCACAUUAUUCAUCAACUUGGUUAUAUUAGGUUUAUCCUCCAUUUCUACCGAGACCUGAUAGUGUGACCUACUACGAACCUGUGCCCAUGACCGAGGACGUGGCUAUCGAUAGAUUUAACAAACACACUCUGCAGAGGUAGCGCACUGUACCCACACCACGAAACCCAUGGCCUCGCACUCCAUUCGGGUGGACCAACGGUGUUCCGACAAAACCGAUCUAUUGCCAUGACACUCCACUAGUAGAAAAGGGGGCAAUGGUCUAGGCCAGGCCAGCCCAUUAGUCCCGGUUCAGUCCAGAACCGGGACCCAUGGGGGCAUUGGACCCGGUUCGUGAGCCCCGGGGGCCGGACGGGCCAUGUGGGCCAUUGGUCCCGGUUCGUCUGGACCUUUUUGUCCCGGUUGGUGGCAUGAACCGGGACCAAAGGCUGCCCUUUAGUCCCGGUUCAUGCCAGGAACCGGGACCAAUUAAUUGCCUAUACCCCUUGCCUGCGAGCAGAGCACUCCCACUGCUCUGUUUUUCCUGGCCGUCGAGGAGAGAGCUUUGUGGUGCUCUAGCUCACCUCCUAUGCACACGAGGUGUUCGAUGGAAUGCCCGAGCCACACUACUUAAGCUUUCUCCACUCCUAGCUCGACCUCCAAGCUCCAUUUUCCUCAAUAUUUGUCUAGGUUUAGCGGUCUGUCACGUCCCGUCCCCGUCUUCACCGCCGUCGAUCGCCCGCGCCGAUCUCGUCGCCGGCACCACCAUGGUGAGCCUCAUGUUCUUAUCUUCUUUCUGAAAGGAAAAAAAUUCUUACUUGUAUGUUUAUAUAGAUACUUGUAUAAUUUUCUUACUUUUAUUAUUGCAUCUUAUAUAGUGCGAUGGUUUUGGUAUCCGCCCCCGUCGGCCCUCAUCCUGUCUAUGAUUCGGAUGUGGUAUAUAUUAUCUUUUCAUAACUAUUGGUUCACUUAUUGUUUAUGACAAUUAUGCCGACCAACGUGACAUAGAUUUUAUUUAUCUAGGAGGUUGUUGAACCGGAAAUUCCAACCGACCCUAUUGUCGAGAGGUUAAAUUUAGUUGAAGAAGAAAAAAAAUUCUUGAAGGAAAAAAUAAGAAAAAUUGAGGAGGAGGAGAUGAUAUUGGAGUUGCAUGUUGCGGAUGUCAUUGAUGAUCACACGAUCAAGAUGGAUGCAAUGCGCUUGAAGAUUAGAAAGAUUAGAAAAUAUGCCAUUCAUACCGAGGCUUGGUAUCAUUAUGUCGUUGGAUCAGUUGUUACAUUGGUUGCGAUUAUGAUCGCAUUUGUUUUCGCAUUGAAAUGUUUUACAUAGUUUCAAUGUAUGGUUUAAUUAAUUUAGAUGCUCUGCAGAGCUUUAUGUCGUUAGAUGAGAACUAUGUAUGUACUUUGGUUUUAAUGUGAUGAUGAACUUCUAUUAAUUUGGUCACUUAAUUAUCUAUUCAUGAUGUUCUAUAAUGAUUUUUGACACACCUACUUAUAUAUAAUGCACGCAGAUGAGCCGGCAAUGGAUGUAUGGUUCAAGACACACCUCCGAGUACAUUAAGGGCGUGCAUGAUUUUCUCGAAGUGGCUGAGGCAAACAAGCAGAAUGGUUUUAUGUGUUGUCCAUGCCCUAUAUGUGGGAAUACGAAGUCCUACAAUGACCGGAAAAUCCUUCACACCCACCUGCUUUACAAGGGCUUCAUGCCACACUAUAAUGUUUGGAGGAGGCACGGAGAAAUAGGGUUAUGAUGGAAGACGGCGAAGAAGAAGAGUACGAUGACAACUAUGUGCCCCCUGAAUACGGUGAUGCUACUGAAGAUCAAGAGGAACCAGACGAUGUGCACGAUGAUGUUGUAACGGGGGAAGCUGCUGAAGAUCAAGAGGAACCAGACGAUGUGACCGAUGAUGAUGAUCUCCGCCGGGUCAUUGUCGAUGCAAGGACGCAAUGCGAAAGUCAAAAGGAGAAGCUGAAGUUCGCUCACAUGUUAGAGGACCACAAAAAAGGGUUGUACCCCAAUUGCGAAGAUGGCAACACAAAGCUUGGUACCGUACUGGAAUUGUUGCAGUGGAAGGCAGAGAAUGAUGUGCCUGACAAAGUAUUUGAGAAGCUACUGAAAAUAUUGAAGAAGAAGCUUCCAAAGGAUAACGAAUUGCCUGAUAGUACAUACGCAUCAAAGAAGGUCGUAUGCCCUCUAGGAUUGGAGGUGCAGAAGAUACAUGCAUGCCCUAAUGACUGCAUCCUCUACCGCGGUGCGUACAAGGAUCUAAACGCAUGCCCGGUAUGCUGUGCAUUACGGUAUAAGAUGAGAAGAGAUGACCCUGGUGAUGUUGACAGCGAGCCCCCCAGGAAGAGGGUUCCUGCGAAGGUGAUGUGGUAUGCUCCUAUAAUACCACGGUUGAAACGACUGUUCGGAAACGGAGAGCAUGCCAAGUUGAUGCGAUGGCAAAGUGAGGACCGUAAGAAAGACGGGAAGUUGAGAGCACCCGCUGACAAAUCACAGUGGAGAAAAAUUGAGAGAAAGUACUGGGAUGAGUUUGCAAGUGACCCAAGGAACGUAUGGUUUGCUUUAAGUGUGGAUGGCAUUAAUCCUUUCGGGAAGCAGAGCAGCAAUCACAGCACCUGGCCCGUGACUCUAUGUAUGUAUAACCUUCCUCCUUGGAUGUGCAUGAAGCGGAAGUUCAUUAUGAUGCCAGUUCUCAUCCAAGGCCCUAAGCAACCCGGCAAGGACAUUGAUGUGUACCUAAGGCCAUUAGUUGAAGAACUUUUGCAGCUGUGGAAUGGAAACGGUGUACGUACGUGGGAUGAGCACAAAUAGGAGGAAUUUGACCUAAAGGCGUUGCUAUUCAUGACCAUCAACGAUUGGCCCGCUCUUAGUAACCUUUCAGGAGAGACAAACAAGGGAUACCACGCAUGCACACACUGUUUACUUGACACUGAUAGUAUAUACCUGGGAAGUUGCAGGAAGAAUGUGUACCUGGGCCAUCGUCGAUUUCUUCCGACCAACCAUCAAUGUCGAAAGAAAGGCAAGCAUUUCAAAGGUGAGGCAGAUCACCGGAAGAAGCCCGCCAUCCGUACCGGUGAUCACGUACUUUCUAUGGUCAAUGAUUUACACGUAAUAUUUAGAAAGGGUCCCGACACACUAGCUGUUCUGAAUGACGCUGAGGGACAUGCACCCAUGUGGAAGAAGAAAUCUAUAUUUUGGGACCUACCCUAUUGGAAAGACCUAGAGGUCCGCUCUUCAAUUGACGUGAUGCACGUGACGAAGAACCUUUGCGUGAACCUGCUAGGCUUCUUGGGCGUGUAUGGAAAGACAAAAGAUACAACUGAGGCACGGGAGGACCUGCAACGUUUGCACGAAAAAGACGACAUGCCUCCAAAGCAGUAUGAAGGUCCUGCUAGCUAUGCUCUUACCAAAGAAGAGAAGGAAAUCUUCUUUGAAUGUGUGCUUAGUAUGAAGGUCCCGACUGGCUUCUCGUCGAAUAUAAAGGGAAUAAUAAAUAUGGCAGAGAAAAAGUUUCAGAACCUAAAGUCUCAUGACUGCCACGUGAUUAUGACGCAACUGCUUCCGGUUGCAUUGAGGGGGCUUCUACCGGAAAACGUCCGAUUAGCCAUUGUGAAGCUAUGUGCAUUCCUCAAUGCAAUCUCUCAGAAGGUGAUCGACCCAGAAAUCAUACCAAGGCUAAGGAGUGAUGUGGUGCAAUGUCUUGUCAGUUUCGAGCUGGUGUUCCCACCAUCCUUCUUCAAUAUCAUGACGCACGUCCUAGUUCAUCUAGUUGACAAGAUUGUCAUUCUGGGCCCGUAUUUCUACACAAUAUGUACCCCUUUGAGAGGUUCAUGGGAGUCCUAAAGAAAUAUGUCCGUAACCGCGCUAGGCCAGAAGGAAGCAUCUCCAUGGGUCAUCAAACAGAGGAUGUCAUCGGGUUUUGUGUUGACUUCAUUCCUGGCCUUAAGAAGAUAGGUCUCCCUAAAUCGCGGUAUGAGGGGAGACUGACUGGAUAAGGCACGCUUGGAAGGGACUCAAUAAUAUGCAGGGACGGAUAUUCUUGGUCUCAAGCACACUACACAGUUCUACAGAACUCUACCUUGGUGACCCCGUAUAUUGAUGAACACGAGAACAGUCUGCCUUCCAAACACCCGGAGCAGUGCGACGACUGGAUUACAUGUGAACACAUCACGACUUUCAGUAGUUGGUUGGAAACACGUCUCAGAGGUGACAACACUGUUUGUGAUGAGCUGUACUUGUUGUCCAGGGGACCAUCUUCGACUGUUACAAUUUGGAAAGGAUACGGGAUAAAUGGGAAUAUAUUUUACAUGAUUGACCAAGAUCAAAAGAGCACCAACCAAAACAACGGUGUCCGCUUUGAUGCAACAACCGAGAGGGGAAAGGACACAUAUUAUGGUUACAUAGUGGACAUAUGGGAACUUGACUACGAACAUGAUUUUAAGGUCCCUUUGUUUAAGUGCAAAUGGGUCAAUCUGUUAGGAGGCAGGGUACAGGUAGACCCACCGUACGGAAUGACAAGAGUGGAUCUGAAAAAUCUUGGGUACACUGACGAACCGUUCGUCCUAGCCAAUGAUGUGGCACGGGUUAUCUAAGUGAAGGACAUGUCUACCAGACCGAGAAAAAGAAAAGAUAAGGAAGCGAAUACAUCAUACGAUGAGCCAAAGCGCCACAUAGUUCUUUCAGGAAAAAGGGACUUCGUGGUAGUGGAGGGCUGACCCCAGCAUCCUGAUAAACGAUGAAGAUUAUCCAUGGUUACGGCGCAAUAAGCAAAUGACACAAGCGAAGAAAAAGUGAAGACUUUCUCCCGCAACUAUUAUGAUGAUACCAUGCCAACUUUGUAACAGACGAGUAUGAUACCAUUGUCCGUUUUGUACAUGCACAUGCUAUGUGGGUGAAUUUAUGAUACCAUGCCAUCUUUCAACUUUUCAGAGUUCAUUUGAAAACUAAUGGCACUAACAGAAAGUUUAUAAUUUUUCUAAAACUAAAAGAAAAAAAGAAUUAAAAAUAGAGCAACAAACAAAAGAAAAUAAAUAAUGCAGAAAACAACACCAAAAAACAGGAAAAAAAUAAAAAAUAGCAACAAUAAGUAUUUUGUUGUAAGUAGAAACAAAAUAAAAUAAAUAAAGCAAGAAAGAAAACAAAAAAAGUGUUUUCAAAUUUGAAAACUAAUGGCACUAACGGNNNNNNNNNNNNNNNNNNNNNNNNNNNNNNNNNNNNNNNNNNNNNNNNNNNNNNNNNNNNNNNNNNNNNNNNNNNNNNNNNNNNNNNNNNNNNNNNNNNNNNNNNNNNNNNNNNNNNNNNNNNNNNNNNNNNNNNNNNNNNNNNNNNNNNNNNNNNNNNNNNNNNNNNNNNNNNNNNNNNNNNNNNNNNNNNNNNNNNNNNNNNNNUGCAGAAAACAAAACAAAAAAUGGAAAAAAUAGCAACAAUAAGUAUUUUGUUGUAAGUAGAAACAAAAUAAAAUAAAUAAAGCAAGAAAGAAAACAAAAAAAAGUGUUUUCAAAUUUAAAAACUAAUGGCACUAACAGAAAUUUUAUAAUUUUUCUAAAACUAAAAGCAAAAAGAAUUAAAAAAUAAAGCAAAAAAUAAAAUAAAAUAAAUAAUGCAAAAAACAAAAAAAACUGGAAAAAAACAAAAAAAUUGCCACCUAUUGGGCCACCACGGCCUGAAUACUACUAGAAACCCAACCUGGGCCAGGAUUCAGGCCCGCAGAAGGCCCAAUAGGCCCACAACAGCAUAGUGUGAGAUUAGGCCCGAAAUCCUGCAGUUGAUAGGAGCUCGAGAGGGUGGGCGCAACAGCGCUUAUAAACCACUCUCGAGCCCUCUCAACUAGCGAGGUGGGACUAAACUUUCGCCGCGCUGCGGGCAGCACAGGGGCCUUUGGUCCUGGUUGGUGGAACCAACCGGGACUAAAGGGAGGCAUUGGUAUCGGUUCGUGGCACCAACCGGGACCAAUGUCCCCCCUUUAGUCCCAGUUGGUGCCACCAACCGGGACCAAAGGCCGCCGCUUCCCGCCCUUUGGACUGCUGAAAAUAGGCCUUUGGUCCCGGUCGUUGGCACCAACCGGGACUAAAGGGGUGCAUUAGUCCCGGUUGGUUUCAUGAACCGGGACCAAUGCUCUUGCUAUAUAUACAGCACUUAGCAGUUUCGACCAAAUCCCCCACUUCUCCCCCUGCGCCCCUGCUCCUCCUCGUCGCCGUCGCCGCCCGACACCCCUGCUCCACCUUGUCGUCGCCGCCGCCCCCGACGCUGUCAGGCUGCUAGCCUUCGCCGUCGCCGCCGCCCCCUGUGAGCACAGCCUGCUCCCACGCCCCUCCCGUCUUGCGCCCCUGCGCGGCCGCCGCGUCGCAGCCCCUGCCCGGCGCGGCCGCCGCGCCGCCGCCCCUNNNNNNNNNNNNNNNNNNNNNNNNNNNNNNNNNNNNNNNNNNNNNNNNNNNNNNNNNNNNNNNNNNNNNNNNNNNNNNNNNNNNNNNNNNNNNNNNNNNNNNNNNNNNNNNNNNNNNNNNNNNNNNNNNNNNNNNNNNNNNNNNNNNNNNNNNNNNNNNNNNNNNNNNNNNNNNNNNNNNNNNNNNNNNNNNNNNNNNNNNNNNNNNNNNNNNNNNNNNNNNNNNNNNNNNNNNNNNNNNNNNNNNNNNNNNNNNNNNNNNNNNNNNNNNNNNNNNNNNNNNNNNNNNNNNNNNNNNNNNNNNNNNNNNNNNNNNNNNNNNNNNNNNNNNNNNNNNNNNNNNNNNNNNNNNNNNNNNNNNNNNNNNNNNNNNNNNNNNNNNNNNNNNNNNNNNNNNNNNNNNNNNNNNNNNNNNNNNNNNNNNNNNNNNNNNNNNNNNNNNNNNNNNNNNNNNNNNNNNNNNNNNNNNNNNNNNNNNNNNNNNNNNNNNNNNNNNNNNNNNNNNNNNNNNNNNNNNNNNNNNNNNNNNNNNNNNNNNNNNNNNNNNNNNNNNNNNNNNNNNNNNNNNNNNNNNNNNNNNNNNNNNNNNNNNNNNNNNNNNNNNNNNNNNNNNNNNNNNNNNNNNNNNNNNNNNNNNNNNNNNNNNNNNNNNNNNNNNNNNNNNNNNNNNNNNNNNNNNNNNNNNNNNNNNNNNNNNNNNNNNNNNNNNNNNNNNNNNNNNNNNNNNNNNNNNNNNNNNNNNNNNNNNNNNNNNNNNNNNNNNNNNNNNNNNNNNNNNNNNNNNNNNNNNNNNNNNNNNNNNNNNNNNNNNNNNNNNNNNNNNNNNNNNNNNNNNNNNNNNNNNNNNNNNNNNNNNNNNAAGAAGAAAAAAUAGAAAAAAUUUCUAUUUUUUCUUCUUCUCCUCUAUUCCUUUCUUCUUCUCCUCUUCUUUUUCUUAUUUCUAUUUUUUCUUCUUCUCCUCUAUUCCUUUCUUCUUCUCCUCUUCUUUUUCUUCUUUUUUCCUCUUCUUUUCUAUUUUUUAUUCUUAUCCUCUAUUCCUUUCUUCUUCUCCUCUUCUUUUUCUUCUUUUUUUCUCUUCUUAUUAUUUAUUUCUCCUCUUCUUCUCCUUUCUUCCUCUUCUUAUUUUCUUUUUCCUCUCCUUCUUUUUCUUCAUCUUCGAUCUCCUUCUUCCUUCUUCCUCUUUUCUUCCUUUUCCUUAUUUUCCUUUCUUGAGGGAGAAGAAGAAAAAGAAGAGGAGAAGAAGAAGAAGAAAGGAAUAGAGGAGAAAGAAGAAACUUCAACACGAGGGGGGGGGGUACCGAUACCCCCUCCCCGAUAACAUUAUUUUCCCAUGUAUAUGUAUGUCGCGUCGUUGUCGAUACAACCCCCUCCCGGAUAACUUCGACAUGAGGGGCAGUCGAUAUAUAUGCCCCCUCUCGACCGUGAUAACUUAUACCACGGCAGCACCCCCCUCGGCCCUCUCGCUCGACCAAAACUCUCGAGGACACCCAAACCCUAGAGAGAAAACGAUGUUGGUCUCCUAUCCCCUCCCGCCGCGCCCCUACCCGACAAAUUAACUCUCUCGAGGCCACCCAAAUUUACCAAGUUAAAAGAGCGUUGUCAUCGAGGCCACCCCAAACCCUUGAAGCGUUGUGUCGAGGCCACCCCAAACCCUAGAGAAGCAGCGUCGAGGCCACUAACAUGAUUCCUUAUUGUGAUUAGCUAGCUAGUUAUACGUUUGCCACUAAUAUAUAUCCAUCUGUACCAUGUUUGAAUAAUAAUUUACAUGUUGUAAAUAUUUACAGAAACUAUGGAGCACUCCCGAGACGAAGCAACAGAAGCGAUGUUGGGGGACAUAAUCAUACAAGGAAGUGAUGUCGUUGCGUCAUUUCUCAACGACACCGAUGGUCAGGAAGGACUGGGUGAAGAAGAGGGCUAUGUUCAUGAUGGCUCCGGGCCAUUAAUGCCGGUACAAGAAGAGGGCUAUGUUCNNNNNNNNNNNNNNNNNNNNNNNNNNNNNNNNNNNNNNNNNNNNNNNNNNNNNNNNNNNNNNNNNNNNNNNNNNNNNNNNNNNNNNNNNNNNNNNNNNNNNNNNNNNNNNNNNNNNNNNNNNNNNNNNNNNNNNNNNNNNNNNNNNNNNNNNNNNNNNNNNNNNNNNNNNNNNNNNNNNNNNNNNNNNNNNNNNNNNNNNNNNNNNNNNNNNNNNNNNNNNNNNNNNNNNNNNNNNNNNNNNNNNNNNUAUAUAUAUAUAUAUAUAUAUAUAUAUAUAUAUAUAUAUAUAUAUAUAUAUAUAUAUAUUAGUCAAGCCCAUGCUGACUAGUUAAUUGAUGCAUCCAUUGUUUUGGUAUAUGUACACAUAUUAAUUAACUCUUGUCUUUCUUCCUUUUUCUAGCCCUCCGGAUCGAGCACAACUUCGGUAAGGAGACGAGGCCCGAAGAAAAAGUUGAGCUCAGAUGAAAGGUGAAAGAUCGAGGAUGUCGCCUAGAGGGGGGGUGAAUAGGUGCUUUAAAAUAAUUACGGUUUAGGCUUGAACAAAUGCGGAAUAAACCUAGCGGUUAAUUUGUCAAGCACAAAACCUAUAACAACUAGGCUCACCUAUGUGCACCAACAACUUUUGCUAAGCAAGAUAAGCAACUAUGUGAUAGCAAGAUAUAUGACAAAGAACAAUAUGGCUAUCACAAAGUAAAGUGCAUAAGUAAAGGGGCUCGGGUAAGAGAUAACUGAGGCACGCGGAGACGACGAUGUAUCCCGAAGUUCACACCCUUGCGGAUGCUAAUCUCCGUUUGGAGCGGUGUGGAGGCACAAUGCUCCCCAAGAAGCCACUAGGGCCACCGUAAUCUCCUCACGCCCUCGCACAAUGCAAGAUGCCGUGAUUCCACUAAGGGACCCCUGAAGGCGGUCACCGAACCCGUACAAAUGGCGACCCUUGGGGGCGGUCACCGAACCCGUACACUUUGGCAACCCUUGGGGGCGGUCACCAGAACCCAUCAAAUUGCUCGGGGCGAUCUCCACAACCUAAUUGGAGACCCCGACGCUUGCCCGGAGCUUUACACCACAAUGAUUGAGCUCCGAACACCACCAACCGUCUAGGGCGCCCAAGCACCCAAGAGGAACAAGCUCAAGGGCACCAAGCACCCAAGAUUAAUAAGCUUCUCAACUUGUAACUUCCACGUAUCACCGUGGAGAACUCAAACCGAUGCACCAAAUGCAAUGGCAAGGGCACACGGAGUGCCCAAGUCCUUCUCUCUCAAAUCCCACCGAAGCAACUAAUGCUAGGGAGGAAAAUGAGAGGAAGAACAAGAAGGAGAACACCAAGAACUCCAAGAACUAGAUCCAAGGGGUUCCCCUCACAUAGAGGAGAAAAUGAUUGGUGGAAAUGUGGAUCUAGAUCUCCUCUCUCUUUUCCCUCAAAAACUAGCAAGAAUCCAUGGAGGGAUUGAGAGUUAGCAAGCUCGAAGAAGGUCAACAAUGGGGGAAGAACACGAGCUCAAAGGAUAAGGUUGAAUGGGGAAGAAGACCCCCUUUUAUAGGAGCUCCCGAAUCCAACCGUUAUGCUCACAGCCCGCACAGAGCGGUACUACCGCUCCAAGGAGCGGUACUACCGGUAGAGUGGUAGUACCCCUUUGAAACACAACAGCGAGGAGGCAAAAAGGCCAAAAGAACCUUCGGAGCGGUAGUACCGCUCGUCCUCACGGUACUACCGCAAAUGGUAGCAGUACUACUGCUUGCGAGCGGUACUAAAAAAAUACUUCUGUGCCUACUUCCGCUGAGCAAAACACGAGAUUUUGGUCCGGAGCGGUACUACCGCUUAGGAGCUGCGGUAGUACUGCUCUGGAGCGGUACUACCGCUCAGGAGCCGCGGUAGUACUGCUCUGGAGCGGUAGUAAAAAAUUACAUCCGCUCCAGUCGCGGUAGUACCGCUGCAGCCUUUACCAAAACAACCACAACUUUUGCAAACGGACUCCGAAUUCAACGAAACCAAGUUUGUUGGAAAGGUAACGACAUGGGCUAACACAAUAUUGAUAGAAAUGUCAAGAGUAAGCAAAUGAGAAAAGUCCCAAAAUAAAAUGGUGAGAACCCUUCAUCGGAUAAGACCGGUAAAACCUCCAACACCGAAAACAUCAUAGAAGACGCAUGCGAACUCCGUUUUCGAUGAACUCAAGCUUGUCAUCAAGAUGACCAUAAGCUCUAAGACUCACAAAGAUAACCUAACAAGAACCAAUAAACAUGACGCAAGGAUGCAAUGGUUUGAGCUCUCUACUAACGAUAUGAUCAAGCUACCAUCGAGAGCCCCCCUUGAUAGUACGACAAUCGAUCCUAAAACCCGGUCUCCCAACUACCACCAUGAGACCGGUAAAAUAGAAAACCUAUCAAGGGCAAACCUCUGCCUUGCACAAAAUCCACUUGAGCUAGAUGAUGACGAUCUACUCCUCCUCAAGAUGGACCACCUUUCUUGAUUGCGUUGGCUCGAUGAAGACUAGUUGAUUGCUCCCCCAUACUCCAUUAUGGGUGAGCCACUCUCCCGCUCAUCUUCACAAGUCCAUUGUCACCACAAUGGACGGCAAGCUUCAAGCACUUGAUCUCUUCGUGAUGCAUCACUUGAAUUUGCACACCGCAACCUAACCCCACAAAGAACUCUCACGAAGACCAUGGGUUAGCACACAAAGCGUAAUGGACAAUGCUUACCAUACCAUGGGAUCACUUGAUCCCUCGGUACAUCUUGUGCGCUUUGUGUGUUGAAUCUUUCCAACUCUCUUCAUUUGGAUGAUGUCUUGAAGGUGGACAUGAAUGAUCACACAAUCUUAUUCUUCAAGACAUGCUUGCAAUAAGCUCAACACUCACAUGACCGGUCUUUGGAUAAUUCCUUAAUAGUACCAUCGUCAUCACACUCUCUCCUUGAAACCAACAAAUGGACUCCAAGAAAAUCCUAUGGACAAACCCUUCAAAUAUAACUCAAGGCAACCAUUAGUCCAUAGAGAUUGUCAUCAAUUGCCAAAACUAAACAUGGGGGCACCGCAUGUUCUUUCAAUCUCCCCCAUUUUGGUAAUUGAUGACAAUCACUUUGAAGAGAGUUUAUACAAGGAAUUAUGCAUCACCAUGCAAUGCAACAACCAAUGAUGCAAUACAAGGAAUUAUGCAUCACCAUGCAAUGCAACAACCAAUGAUGCAUGAGAAUGAGAUGCAAAUGCUUAGGAACCAAAACCAAAGCAAGGAGAAAACUCAGAAGACUUCUCCAUUAAACUCUCUGAAACUUCUCCCCCAUUGGCAUCGAUUGCUAAAAUGGGCGAAAAGCUUAGAUGGCUAAAAUAAACUGUGGUCCUCCAUAAAUUGUGUAUUUCUCAACAACAGAGUGGAAAGCAAUACACAUAUCCAACUGUCAAUACUUGGAGGAAGACAAACUAUAUUGAGGCCCAAAGAUUGAAACAGAUAGAUAUGCCACAAAGACAUAACAAAGAGAGACACAAGCAAUCAGAAGAUACCAAUUGAAGCAAGCAAUCAACGGAUAUCAAAUGAACCAACUAGACCAAUGAUCCUACAUGCCACAAGAAUAAAGAUAUUAUGAUAAGUGCAAAGGAGUGUUCUAAAGAAACUAUAGGAGCUCCCCAUGAUUUGUGCACACAUACAAUUUUUGUGUUUGAAAACAAAGUGCGCAAAAUAGGAUCAUAGCUCCCCCAAAAUCAAUAAAAAACUUACAUCCAGUGCAAGUGAGCAUAUAGGAAACAAAGCCUAGCGCUUGCAACAAGCACAUGGUUGAGCAACAUGUAAAAGAGGCAACUUAAGAAUAGGCUCAACCAAAAUGAUGUGUGUGAGUCAAGGCAAUGCACUAGAGUAGACUAAUGUACGGAUGAGCAUUACGCAUCAAUAUAGUCUUGAAAUAAUGAGAUACAUGGUGCAAGCCAUGUCAUUCCCACACACAACUAGCAAACAGGUUCACAAGGUCACUAAUAAGCAUAUAAAGAACUUAUGCUUGUGACAACCCGUGGUGAAGAUAGAAGGUGAAAGCCUCAUCAAGACGAGGGAUGCCAAUUAAGAUGGCAAAAGCCUCGUAACGAUAAGCAUGAGGAAAAUAAUCUUCACCACACAAUAGUGCAUCAAGAUGCAACGAUAGAGGACACACACUCAAGGCAAAAGCUUUCACGGAGCCACCAAAGAAAUAACAUAAGAAAGACAAGGUGGACGUGAAAGAAAGGAUAUCAACUAGAGAUGUAAUUUCUCUCAAGUGUAUAAGGUUCUAUGUAGACGAAAUCAUGAUGAUAUAUAUAUCUACAAAGAAGAAUGUACACCCGAAAUAGUUACAACACGAAGGAACAAGAUAUCCACAAGGAAGUCAUAAAUAUACCAAUAAGAUAUUUGCUUGAAAACAUAGCACUGGGCUAGAUAUGGUCUUAUUGUAUAUAAAUGAAGUCCAAACACACAUCCAUCAAGGGCAUCACAACUAGCAACAAGAGAUCAUCAUUGGGAUGCUUUGAGAAAGGAAACAAGUAUCACAAGAUAUGAAAUGAAAAUCAUGCCAAGAUGCAACCUACACAAGGUUGAAUGCAAGAGGAGAAAGCAUGAAUAGAUACUUGUUACCGAGAUAUCAUUGGAAGGAUGUAGUAGAUACCAAUUGAAGGUAGAUAGUAGUUCAUUGAUCAUCCUAGCUUGACUCCAAUAUGCACAUGGUGACAACACCUUCCUUGUGAGUGAGCCGAGCAUCCAAUGCAUCUCCAAAUGUUCCUAGAAGAACAACACAAACUAAACGGUACCCAAACUCAUCGGGACCAAAUAGUUAGAAACACCAAUACAUAGGACAAACUCCACAUAAAUAUGUGCAUAUAGAUAUGAAAAUGAAUUUCAUGCACAUCUCAUCCGAAUUGAGACUAGGUGGAGUUUCCCCUAUAUAUUGAGUCAAAGAAAGAAAGCAUGCCAAAUGAAAUACAUGAAGUAAACAUGCAUGCUCAAGACUUUCAAAACCCGGAACCAAAAGAUAAAUAAAUGCCAAGUGAAAAGGAUACCAAAUGGAGAAAUCAUCACUUGGAAGAUAUCAUUAAAGAUACAUCAAGGAAUGAGAUAUCCAUUGAUACACACUAAACUAAAGAUGUCAAACUCCCAAAGAGAGGAUGGUUCCAAACAUACCAAGCUCUCAACAAAGUUUCAUGAUGGCACAAAGUACCAAAAAGAAAUGGCUUGCCUUCCACCAAAACACACUUGAUAAGGAUCACAAGAAGAGUGAAGAAAAUAGAAUAUCUCCCCCACGAGUUGUGCAUUAUAUAGGAUUUGUAUUUGAAUACAAAAUGCACAAGGUGGGAUCACUGCUUUCACUAUAUCUAGAAAACACUAGACAAGAACUAGAAAUAAACAAGAUCCACAAGUGGUAUGGAAGACAACGGGAGUUAACACAAACCUUGGCAAGAGAAAAAGGAAAAUAAACAAAAGCCAAUGUAAAGAUGAUCAAUUAAAUUCUACCACACAUAAGUGACUACCAAUUUUCAAAAGACAAGAAGUAGAUGGAAAGAAUUCCCAGUGGUAGAUAGCAAGGAUAUCCAACAUCAUCUUCACACCACACACAAGCAAAUUGAAACUUGUAGAGCUAAUAUACCACCUAGCGACUAGAUAAUCCUGUAAUAUCAAUACUAGAUGGUAUUCCUCAUGUACACACAUUUAUAGAAUUGUGAGGUGCACAAAGCACAUCACUCCCCCAAAAUUGGAUGUUCCAUUGAUCUCUCACACGAGCCAACUAGGAUACAAACAAGAAGCAAAAAGGCUCAACGCACGACGCACACGUACAUGAUGUGCAAACCAACACACACAUACUUGAUUGCUCAAGAUAAGCAAGUUGGAAGCGCAACAUAUACAAACACAUGCAAGGAACAAAACCAAAACAUGCAAGGGGGCAAGUAACUUUCAAGGUAAACAAUUUAAGUACAAGUUACCGCGAGGAGGCACAUUGGAUAUAAGAUAGAAACUUGAUAAUCCAAUUGAAUUGGCUUGAGACAAAGAGAAUGAUGAAGUCCCCUUAAUUCUUCAUAAUGUAGCCAAGUCUCCAAUGCCCUCCAACAACACCUAUUGAUCAAGUUUGAGCUUGUUGGUCCCCAACCAACUUGGGUCCUAAGAGGUUAGUCAUAAUAGGUUUGGCUACCUAAAUGGUUCUUUGCUUGACACCACUUUGAGUACCAACAAACUUGGCAAACACAUUGCCAACCUUAUCCUUACCAAGAGAAUAGAUAUCAUCAAUAAUAAUUGGGUUGGAUAAGUUACCACUAGUGCAUGAAGAAGCGACAUGACCUUUCUCACGACAUAAGUAGCAACCUCUACUCUUCACUUUCUUCUCACUUGAUUUCUCAAUUUCAGAAGCAUUAACUUGAGUCUUCUUGGGAAGAGGCCUUUCUUCAACUUGAUGUUGAGCAUGAGAUUGAACUUGUGCCCUCUUCCCUUGUUGCUUGACACUAAUGGCCUUCUUCUUCAAUGGGCAAGAUCUAACAUGAUGCCCUUCAACUUUGCACUUGAAGCAAACAAUCUUGGCCGAAUUCUUGACUUGUUCUUGGCCCUUCUUCUUGUUCAACUUGGACUUCUUCUUCUUGUUGGAUUUGAAUCCAAGUCCACCUUUGUCAUUGGGGGAUUUUUGCACACUCAAGAUAUUGUUGAGUGUGGCCUUCCCUUCAUGACACUUUUCCAAGUCUUUCUUCAAAGAAGUGACUUGGGCCUUGAGCUCUUUGAUUUCCUCUACAUGGUUAGUCUCAACACAAGUACUAGAGGAAGUAUAAGCUUCAUAGUUAGAGCAACAAGGCAAGGAAAGAAAUUCAUCACAAGAUGUACCAACAUUGUGAGUAGAUGAAUUACAAGGACUAGCACAUGGCAAUAUACUAUUUUGACUAGAAGUAGUGCUAGUAUCCACAUGAGGCUCACUAGAUGUUACCUUGGCAGUCAUGUCCUCAUGAGCUAUCUUUAGCACACUAUGGGAUACUAGAAGAUCAUCAUGAGAGCUUGAGAGCUUUUCAUGACUUUCUUACAAUUUCCCAUAAUUGCAAGAUAGCACCUCAAGUUGAGCCCCUAGCUCAACAUUCUCCUUCAAAAUGGAUGCUUCACAAGUAAUAGAAUUAGUAGCACAAGCAUCAUCAUUAACAACAAGAGGAGAAGGCAACUUGGCAAGCUCUUUUAAAUAAGAAGCUUCAAGUUGAGCAUGAGACUCGGUGAGUUUGAUGAGCUCACCCUUGAUGACCCUUGAGCCAUUUUCGAGGUGCUCAAAAUCCUCAAGGAGUCUAGCAUGAUCAACUUCAAGCUUAGCAUUUUUAGUUUCAAAAACAUUGGCCACCUUAAGAGCUCUAUCAGUAGAUUCCUUCACUUUAGACAAUUCUAGAGCAAAAGUCUCCUCAAGAGAUUCCUUGGUGGUUUGUUCAAGUUCAAGAUCUUGAGAGAGGUCCGCAAUCUCAUUAGCAUAAUCACGCCCAUGACCUUCCAUUUUAUCAAUGGUGGCCUCAUGCUCCUCUAGAUGAGAUUCCAACUCCUCAAUGUAUUUCUUGCCAUCAAUGGCAAUGGACAUUAUUUCCAUGAAGUUGGAACGAGCAAUUUUAUUUUUAUGAAGAGCUUUAAAAAUCAUUUCCCCCUUAGUUUUAAAGGAGGCAACAUUAUCGUUCUCUUCAUCAUUAUCCUCAUCAUCAUUAGCAUCAACAUCAUCAUCAAGAGACAUAUUGGGGUACAAAGUAGGAGAUACCUUUGACGCCUUAGCCAUAAGGCAAAAAGCAAUAGAUGAUGAUGUAGGAUCCCUUGAGGCACCAUUAAACACCACAUCUUGUUCCAUGGAGUGUUCGGUUUCCACUACAUUGUUAGCACAACAAUUCGAGGAAAUAGAUGCAUUUUUAUCAUGGCAACAAGACAUAGCAAGCAUAUCAUCAUGAGAUUUAGUCAAGCAAUUUCUACAUGAUAUGCAAGGACUAUCAACACAAGCAUGUGAAAAAUUUGGAGUGCUCGAAGUGUUAAAGCCCAAAGAAGGAGCAUUGCAAUAAUAUAGUGGUGAAGGAUCAUCCACAAUAAGCAUACUAUCAUCAUUGCAAUGACCAACACUACUCACCAUGUCAUUACCUUGUGGCAAACCACAUGUAGGUGAAGUAGAAGAAGUUGAGAAGACUAUACGACCGAAGGUGGAGGAAGAACAAUCAUCCCCACAAAUCUUGGACACACCAUAUUUAUCUUGAAGCUUCGUCCACAACUCAUGAGCAUCUCGGAACGGCAUGAGUUGAAAUAUAACUACAUUGCUCAAAGCAUCGAAAAGCACAUUAGAAGCUUGAGCAUUGAGAUAAGAGUUGUUCUCAUCCUCUAAAGAUAAUCUUUGGGGAUCCUUUGGAGGAGAAAAACCCAUAUCUACAAUUCGCUCUAAAUUUGGGUCCAUGACCCUAAAGAGAUUAAGCAUGUGAAUUACCCAAACAUCAAAAUUUGUGCCAUCGAAACUAAGAGUGUCAGAGAAUCCCAAUCCCCUAGUCGACAUCUUUACUCUCUAGGCGGUAAAGCCUAAUAAAGAGAGACGAGGCUCUGAUACCAAUUGAAAGAUCGAGGAUGUCGCCUAGAGGGGGGGUGAAUAGGCGCUUUAAAAUAAUUACGGUUUAGGCUUGAACAAAUGCAGAAUAAACCUAGCGGUUAAUUUGUCAAGCACAAAACCUACAACAACUAGGCUCACCUAUGUGCACCAACAACUUAUGCUAAGCAAGAUAACCAACUAUGUGAUAGCAAGAUAUAUGACAAAGAACAAUAUGGCUAUCACAAAGUAAAGUGCAUAAGUAAAGGGGCUCGGGUAAGAGAUAACCGAGGCACGCGGAGACGACGAUGUAUCCCGAAGUUCACACCCUUGCGGAUGCUAAUCUCCGUUUGGAGCGGUGUGGAGGCACAAUGCUCCCCAAGAAGCCACUAGGGCCACCGUAAUCUCCUCACGCCCUCGCACAAUGCAAGAUGCCGUGAUUCCACUAAGGGACCCUUGAGGGCGGUCACCAAAUUCGUACAAAUUGCGACCCUUGGGGGUGGUCACCGAACCCGUACACUUUGGCAACCCUUGGGGGCGGUCACCGGAACCCGUCAAAUUGCUCGGGGCGAUCUCCACAACCUAAUUGGAGACCCCGACGCUUGCCCGGAGCUUUACACCACAAUGAUUGAGCUCUGAACACCACCAACCGUCUAGGGCGCCCAAGUACCCAAGAGGAACAAGCUCAAGGGCACCAAGCACCCAAGAGUAAUGAGCUUCUCAACUUGUAACUUCCACGUAUCACCGUGGAACUCAAACCGAUGCACCAAAUGCAAUGGCAAGGGCACACGGAGUGCCCAAGUCCUUCUCUCUCAAAUCCCACCAAAGAACCUAAUGCUAGGGAGGAAAAUGAGAUGAAGAACAAGAAGGAGAACACCAAGAACUCCAAGAACUAGAUCCAAGGGGUUCCCCUCACAUAGAGGAGAAAGUGAUUGGUGGAAAUGUGGAUCUAGAUCUUCUCUCUCUUUUCCCUAAAAAACUAGCAAGAAUCCAUGGAGGGAUUGAGAGUUAGCAAGCUCGAAGAAGGUCAACAAUGGGGGAAGAACACGAGCUCAAAGGAUAAGGUUGAAUGGGGAAGAAUACCCCCUUUUAUAGGAGCUCCCGAAUCCAACCGUUAUGCUCACAGCCCGCACAGAGCGGUACUACCGCUCCAAGGAGCGGUACUACAACUAGGGCGGUAGUAUCCCUUCGAAACACAACAGCGAGGAGGCAAAAAGGCCAAAAGAACCUUCGGAGUGGUAGUACCGCUCGUCCUCAUGGUACUACCGCUCGACCUCACGGUACUACCGCAAAUGGUAGCGGUACUACUGCUUGCGAGCGGUACUAAAAAAAUACUUCUGUGCCUACUUCCGCUGAGCAAAACACAAGAUUUUGGUCCGGAGCGGUACUACCGCUUAGGAGCCGCGGUAGUACUGCUCUGGAGCGGUACUACCGCUCAGGAGCCGCGGUAGUACUGCUAUGGAGUGGUAGUAAAAAAUUACAUCCGCUCCAGUCGCGGUAGUACCGCUGUAGCCUUUACCAAAACAACCACAACUUUUACAAACGGACUCCGAAUUCAACGAAACCAAGUUUGUUGGAAAGCUAACGACAUGGUCUAACACAAUAUUGAUAGAAAUGUCAAGAAUAAGCAAAUGAGAAAAGUCCCAAAAGAAAAUGGUGAGAACCCUUCAUCGGAUAAGACCGGUAAAACCUCCAACACACAAAACAUCAUAGAAGACACAUGCGAACUCCGUUUUCGAUGAACUCAAGCUUGUCAUCAAGAUGAACAUAAGCUCUAAGACUCACAAAGAUAACCCAACAAGAACCAAGAAACAUGACGCAAGGAUGCAAUGGUUUGAGCUCUCUACUAACGAUACGAUCAAGCUACCAUCGAGAGCCCCCCUUGAUAGUACGACAAUCUAUCCUAAAACCCGGUCUCCCAACUACCACCAUGAGACCGGUAAAAUAGAAAACCUAUCAAGGGAAAACCUCUCCCUUGCACAAAAUCCACUUGAGCUAGAUGAUAACGAUCUACUCCUCCUCAAGAUGGACCACCUUUCUUGAUUGCGUUGGCUCGAUGAAGACUAGUUGAUUGCUCCCCCAUACUCCACUAUGGGUAAGCCACUCUUCCGCUCAUCUUCACAAGUCCAUUGUCACCACAAUGGACGGCAAGCUUCAAGCACUUGAUCUCUUCGUGAUGCAUCACUUGAACUUGCACACCGCAACCUAACCCCACAAAGAACUCUCACGAAGACCAUGGGUUAGCACACAAAGCGUAAUGGACAAUGCUUACCAAACCAUGGGAUCACUCGAUCCCUCGGUACAUCUUGUGCGCUUUGUGUGUUGAAUCUUUCCAACUCUCUUCAUUUGGAUGAUGUCUUGAAGGUGGACAUGAAUGAUCACACAAACUUAUUCUUCAAGACAUGCUUGCAAUAAGCUCAACACUCACGUGACCGGUCUUUGGAUAAUUCCUUAAUAGCACCGUGGUCAUCACACUCUCUCCUUGAAACCAACAAAUGGACUCCAAGAAAAGCCUAUGGACAAACCCUUCAAAUAUAACUCAAGGAAACCAUUAGUCCAUAGAGAUUGUCAUCAAUUGCCAAAACCAAACAUGGGGGCACCGCAUGUUCUUUCAAAAGGUUUGAGAUCAUAGAAAUUGCGCUCGACGGUGAACCGAUUGAACCCAUCCAGACAAAGAACGCAUUUUCUGCUCAGUGCGGGGUUCUUGUUAGGGACAAGAUCCCGAUCAGCAUCCAGCAAUGGUAUAAGCCUAAGGAGGAAGACCCUGAGGUGUCUUAUGUCAAUGAUAUGCAGAAAGAUGAUCUUUGGACUUAGCUGAAGGCAAAUUUCACCCUACCGCCAGAGGAGGAUCCGGAGAAGCCAGUUAAAGAGCAAUUAAUCAAGUCUUGUGCUCUUAAGAAGAUGGCAACCCUAUUCAGGAGGUGGAGGAAAGAGCUGAACAAGUUUGUCGACAAAGACGACAAACCAGAAUUCAUCGGCAAAUAUGAGAAGAUCAAGGAUCACUGGCCCGCAUUUGUGGCCCACAAGACAUCGGAAAAGAGUAAGAAGAUGUCGUCGACAAACAAGCAAAAUGCUGCGAAGAAGCAGUUUCACCAUCGCACGGGGUCAGGUGGCUACCUCAAAGCCUGGCCUAGGUGGUCCAAGGCUGAGAAUGAUCUGCUUGAUAAAGGGAUCGAACCAGAGACAAUGAACAGGCCAGACCGUUGCCGGACUUGGUUCUUCGGGGCUGGCGGAACCUUGGACCCUGUAUCAGGGAAGUGUCGUUGGAUGGACGAGAAACUAAAAACACUAGUCAAGAGGCUUCGGCACUAUAUCAAUGCAGCACAACAAGGGACGUUUGUUCAGACAGGAAGAAGGACGAGCUCACAAUGUCCCUCGGGAAUCCUGAGCACCCUGGACGGACACGAGGCAUGCCAGGCUCCAUUCCAUGGAAGGUUGGUUUUCCAAACGCAAGGGGUUACAAAACCCAUGAGAGGAGGAAGAAACUAGAGUCGGGCCAACUGCAGGCGCUGCACAAAAGGGUAAUGGGGCUAGAGGAACGAGAAGAGGAAUGACAAGCAGAUCGCAGCAAACGACCUGCUGAAGCUUUCCCCAAAGCUACCCCGCCAUCUCAGCGGAGAACCAGCGUGGCUUCCACCGAGCUGAUUCAGCUGGAGCAUGUCUUGACGGCUCCUGCCAGCUAUCCCGUGGAUGCUAUCAUGGAGUCUCAAAAUUGCCACAUUAUGACGCGAUGGAUGAAUUUGAAGGUCAAGGCGGCUGUUGGCUCUGUUUAUCCUAUUGAACCCGGCGCAAAUUUUUAGUGUCGGCCGAUUCCAGAAGGAUAUGCUAGGGUGAUGGUGGAUGAAAUAACGGAGGGAUUUGAGGACCUCCAGCUUGACCACCCUACCGGUGAAGGGGAGACUAGGCUGGGUUCUGCUUUGAAGACUCCAUGCCUAUGGCGGAAUGAGCUCAUCAACCUUUCGAACUAGACGCCUCCGCCUCCUCCUCCUCCUCCUCCGGCGAGUCAGGGCACUCCGCCUCCUCCACCGCCUCCUUCUCCGGCGAGUGACGAUCAGGGCACUGGGCCUCCUUCUCUGGCGCAUGGCGGCACUCCGCCUCCUUCUCCGCCUAUGCCGGCGCGCCCGAGCAGCCAGCAGCCUCCUCCUUCUCCGCCUUGCCAGCAAGGGUGGAAGAGACCCGCCGCCGCCCCGGUAGCUCCGGCGCGUCGUAGUCCUUCUCCUCCGCCUCGUAAGCAAGCAUGAAAGAAGACAGACGCCGCAGCCGCUCCCUCUGCUCCGGCGUCUAGCAGUACAGCUAGAGGCGGGAGGUAAUAUAGAUACGGUCCACCUCUCAAGCCUCUAGAGAAGUUACCGUACGAUAGGACCGAGGAGGAAAACGCGAUGACCGUGCGGACCCACGUGAAGGACUUCGUUGAAGGGGUGAAAGCAAAGAGACAUCCACCUCCGGAGGAGAAGGUAGAUCCGGUGAAAGCAAAGCGCACUCUCGAUGCCCUGAGGAAACCGGCAAAGUCUCCGUCGAGAACCAACAAUGAGCGCAUUACUGAACAGACAUAUCUCCAAGCGGAGCGGUCGGGAAGUACUGUCAGACAUCAAAGGUCAAGAGAACGAGCAGCUGCGAAAAAAAUUGACCAGCUCGGCGAACAAGCAAAUCAAUCGUGCCCCCUGCUCAAUGUGUCUAGCGGCGACAUCGUCGCUAAUGCUCCGGGGAUGGUGGCCAGUUAUGGCAAUCUAUCAGAUUACCUGCCUGACGAUCAACUUCCUGAUUUCAUGGAGGUGGACGAACACAUAUACGAGUACGGGAAGCCUCUCGUCAAAGAUGAAAAAUCUCAAACAGCGAUGAUGCGAAGAUUCCAUAAUUGGUACAUGAAAACCUGCAGAGAGUCUGGGGGGACGAAUAGUUUGUAUCUGAACAUUAAAGAGGAGCACGACCUCAUUGGAACUGAUUUGUUUGUUAUUCCAUUUGAGGAGUUCUUCGUGUUCUUCAAUCAAAAGGCCCUCGAUAAUUUAAUGGUCUUUUGCUACUGUCUGUAAGUACUAUUUCUGUCAUUAAGUCUCUCUAUAUAGCUCGGCUCUUUCAUUGCAUGUAUUUAUAAUUAAUUAUCCUCAAUAUAUUAUGCAGAUUGAAGAUCGUCGAGUGCAGAAAACAAGAAAUGUAUGAUAUUGGGUUCAUUAACACAAAUAUCAUAGAUGAUAUUCAGGUUAAAAAGCACGCCGAAGAGGCCGAGGCCAACUUGCUACAAUCCUUGAUCAAAAAUCAAAACAAAGAUACCAUACUCUUUCCUUACAACUUCAAGUGAGUGUUACUGUCGUGUGCAUAUUCGGUUUCCCUUAUUACUCGAGCGAGGUUAUAGUAAUGUAAUUGAUGAGUUAUGCAUGCGUGCACAGCUACCACUAUGUUCUUUUGGAGAUUAAGCUUGAGCGGGGACUAGUAACCGUCUUAGACUCGAGACGGAAAUAUCCUGAAACCUAUGCGGACAUGACUGAAUUGCUCAACAAGUAAGUUCAAUCGACCAUUAUCGCACCAUAUCGGCAACUUUUUGUUCAUUUCCUGAUAUCUCAAGUAAUAAUUAUUAUUUUCUUUGUCUUGCAGGGUUUGGAAACAGUUCACCGCAGAAGCUCCGGGACUGCCGAAGGAGCUGCGAUAUACAUACCCGAAAGUAAGUACUACUGGCUAGCUAGUUGCGCGCAUCUCCCGUUGAUUCUAUAGCUAUACUUUCAUCAAUGCCAUUUAUAAUGCUUCAUUAUCAGUUUGAUUGAUCUCUAUUUCUCGUAAAGUGCUUGUGGCAGGAACAAGGGAAUGAUUUAUGUGGAUACUACGUGUGCGAGUUCAUCUACAUCACGACUUUGAAAAAUAAGCGGGGCUACUAUAAAAGAUAAUAUGAAGUUCGUAAGCAAUAAUAUUCACAAUUUCAUUUUAUUACACCAUCAUUUCUGUUGAGUUUCAUUCAUAUAUAUGUAUUAAUUAGCCCCCUUCUUCAAAUUAGACGUGGCAGAUGCGGAAUGAACUCCUAUAACAAGAUCGCAUGAAAGCAAUUCAAGAGGAAUUGGCGGGAUUCUUUCUUGACCACGUCAUCAAUAAAGCCGGAGAAUACCAUGUGGAAGUUGAUUUCAAUUGCUAGGGGAUUGUAAUUAAGAGAUCUUACAUAUUGUAUAUGUAUGUAGCUAGUAGCGUCGGAUAGAUAAUACGAAAACUUGUUGUUCGACCAAUCUCUCGGAGAAGGAGAGGUCGAUCGAUCACUUCUCUCGGUAUGCAUGAUGAAAUUCUGUACUUAAUGGUUCCCUUCAUUUUCUUACUAGCUAGCGUGUCGAGGGCCUCUCUAUGUAUAGUACGUAGCGUCGACCAAGCACGGACAUAAGAGAGGACACUUCUCUCUAUUAAUUAGCUAGCUAACACAAUAUAUGAAACACCGAAAUUAACCCCCCACCCCCCUUAAAAAACAAAAACCCCAGCCACUGAAAUGCUGACGCGUGGAUGCCUUUUGGUCCCGGUUGGUGCCACCAACCGGGACCAAAGGCCCCCUUGCCUGGGCUCGGCGCACCGGCCACGUGGAGGCCCAUCUGUCCCGGCUCAUAUUAGAACCGGGACUAAAGGUGGGAGGUAUUAGUAACGACCCAUUAGUCCCGGUUCAUGAACCGGGACUAAAGGCUCUUACGAACCGGGACAAAUGCCCCCUUUUCUAUUAGUGCUCUCCCGGCCACUCCGACCAACAACCCUUUUUGGGUUCAGUCGUGGGUGGCCCAUGCCUACCAAAGGCUAACGGCCACCGUUGUGGAAAAAACGGUCCCAAACAUGGACAAAGCGCGCAAAACAACUCGGUUCACAAGGUUCAUGUCCGCCUACCUGAUCAGGGUAGCGCGCGCCCAUAACCUUCCCUACGUUGGAGGCACUAGCGAGAGGCAUGGCAAUAGACCCGUUAGGGCCUUCCCAUUCCAAGGCAAAUGUGGCUGCACUGGAAAAGGCCCGAUUUGGUGGCACUAUGACAUCCCAGUGAUGACGGAGGAGGUUUGUUAUUAAGUCAUAUGAUUAACUUCUCCAUCAUCAAUCAUCAAGCGAGCAUUAUUAACAUGAAUGCAACAACUAACAUGCAACAUACUGACGCAGUAACAAAACAUCAAGCAUUUCAAAAGAAAAAUUAUAGCAUGCGAAUCAUGGCAAUAACAGGUAUUAGCGAACUUAUCAGUGCAACAGAAUUAUAAUAGCAUCGAUACUACUAACAUGAAAAUAAACUAGAUAGAGGCAUGAUAUUAUCGGUAACAACAACAAACUAGCAUGUUAACUUAUUUUAUGAAAGCAUAAGCAUGCAAGACAGAUAACAAAACAUAUAGCACGAUUAAAAUAACAUCAGAUGGAACAGACAAGAAACUACUUCAACUAAACACACACACGAGGUGCAAACAAAGUCAACAUGCAAGUUUGGGGCUCAUGAUAAGAGGUUGGCUUGCCUGGGGGUCGAGGAUUACUCCGGAAAAGUGUGGAACGAUCGGAGAAAGAUUUGCCGGAAACAGUUCUCUCUCGGAGCGGACUGUUUACGGGCAAGGGCAAAAUGGUCAUUUUCAGAAUGUGCAAACAUGGUGAAAGUGAUCCCAUCAUAACGGGCUCGACGAAACAAAGACGUGGGCUUUGGAAUCACAUGAUUCGGAGCUACGGGUAAAAAGAUACGCAGGGUUGAAGUUCAGGGACCUAUCGGUAAAAAUCUUUCAGCAAACAGGUCCCUGGAGGAAAAACUGAACGCGCCUUUCGGGGAAAUAUGCUUUCGUGUGGGGGAGACCUAUUUCAUAGAAUACGCCUCCACUUAUCCACGUGGCAGUGGCGGGAGUGGGCCAAGGUCAACGCCGUGACGCUUCCAGGUGGGUCGCGCGGGGAGGGGCCCGCCUGGC
rnacentral:lncRNA from 1 species